UAAGGAAUAUUGCGCAAUGGGCGACAGCCUGACGCAGCGACGCCGCGUGGGGGAUGAAGGUCUUCGGAUUGUAGACCCCUUUCGGCAGGGAAGAUGGAACGGGUAACCGUUCGGACGGUACCUGCAGAAGCAGCCACGGCUAACUUCGUGCCAGCAGCCGCGGUAAUACGAAGGUGGCAAGCGUUGUUCGGAUUUACUGGGCGUACAGGGAGCAUAGGCGGUUGGGUAAGCCCUCCGUGAAAUCUCCGGGCCUAACCCGGAAAGUGCGGAGGGGACUGCUCGGCUAGAGGAUGGGAGAGGAGCGCGGAAUUCCCGGUGUAGCGGUGAAAUGCGUAGAGAUCGGGAGGAAGGCCGGUGGCGAAGGCGGCGCUCUGGAACAUAUCUGACGCUGAGGCUCGAAAGCGUGGGGAGCAAACAGGAUUAGAUACCCUAGUAGUCCCUGAGCGGGCUGGCAAGGCGCAU
rnacentral:rRNA from 1 species